CCUAUAUACUUUGCAUGGAUCAUGCAGGCAAUACAAUUUACGAAAUCAGAAACAUUCAUUCCGGUCCGUAAGCGGGGAAAACGACGCGAGAAAAAAGUGUUCUCGCGUCUAAGGGGUCACACCAUAACCAGAUCUCCGGGCUUUGCAGAGCCGUAGCCGCCGCCGCUCGGCGUCGGGCUCUGCCGGAUCCGAGGUCUAGCUGAUCCGCUCUUGACAAGGAGACUCCGCAACAAACAGCACACCGCACUCACACAGACCACGCACACACGCACACACGCAUACACGCACACACGCAUGCCGAUCGAUUCGAAUGUGACUCGGCCAGGGCAUGAACAAGAAUCGACUCAAACAUCGAACCUCAAAGAAACUAACGUGCCACACAAAAACGAAAGAAAAGGGGUUGCCAAAGUGGGGGAAGAGGACUAGUAGCCGAAGUAGAUCUAGUCCUAGGGCGGAUGGAUUGUAGCCUACGUUUUAGACUCGUGUCGGUGGGAGAAAAUGUGUUCUUUCAAAAAAAUGGAGUUACACAAGUCGACGAAAAGCAUGAAAACCCUGGACGUGGCGAGUGUCCUGAUGUGUCAACACGUUAAAGCGGACGGUGUACCCCCUAUAUCUUUCCCCCGGACGCACUCACACGGACCCCCAAGGCUGGACUAUAGGAGCUCCUCUCCGGGCAUCGCUCCUGUGCAAGCUGCCGCCCAGACCCAACGUCUGCUGCCUAGCAAAACCAUUUUCACAAGCAUUCGUGUUCUAGAUUAGGUCUUUCUUUCUUUCUUUCUUCUUUCAGCCCUCAAAUGCCUUUUUCCCCCGACCCCCGGCGUAAUGCACAUAUGUGGUUUAAAGCCAGCGAUGUCUAGCGGUCAACAGUCUGCAGUGGAUCGCUGUCUAUUUUUCUUCCGUUGACGAGGAGAACCGGGGGGACGAACGCAGAUGUAAACACAGCUAUAGCAAACACCGCAAAAGGGGAUCAAAAGACGAAAUGACAUUGAAAAACCAACAACCUAUGCAAGAAUAACGCAAAGAGCCAUUCCCAUCAACAUGCAGAAACCAACAUACGACGUUGUUUAACUCGUCCAUCAUUUAACCAAGAUGUUUAACUUUAAACCCUUUUUACCCUGAAUAACAAACACAUAAUAAGUCAAAUAUACAAUUAAAUGAAAAAAGGCAGGGCGUAUCGUUUCCCAGGCGGAGACUUAACUAUUGCAUGAUCUUAAAGUUACACGUAAACAAACACAUUUAACGUAGAAAUAUGUAUUUUCUUAUCGUUUCAACGCAUGAGCAUUCUCCCGAACGUUAACUUGCCUAAACCAUUGAAAUAGUAUACAAUACGAAAACUCCUGAAUGCAAUCCAAGUUCAACUCAAUACAUGGCCUGCUUAUUUAAGAAUAUGUUACGUUUUGUAGGCCUAUAUUUACAUAUGCAUAGGCUCAUAUAGGUACUUCAUUAUUACAUAUAAUAUUUAGCUCUAGCCUUUUGGACAUUUACAAAAUUUAAAAGUCUUACGGUAUGACAAGCCAUGCAUUGUCAUAGGUCUAAGGAGAACGGAAUAUCAUUCCAUAGGUGGCACAAACCAGUGGUCGCAAUGCCAAACGUGUGCACACUCCGUUGACUUCAACUGACAAAUGUAGAACACCUAGAUUGACAGCAUGCGACAUGCAUGCGUUUGUCUUUAUAUCAAUUAUUGCACAUGGACUACUUUGCAUGUUUUAUUUUAAUGAUAUAGGCUACAAGGCAUAUGAAAGGUAAUUUCUAUGCAUUUCAAAUGUGUGUUUUUUCCCUGCAGAUAUUGAUGUGCUAUUAUAAAGUUUUUCAUGUUGUAUUUGAUUUUGGUUAAUUUUUGUCUCGAUUGUUUGUAUAAUUUUAAAAACGAUUUUCCCUCUAUCUCUGAAAAAAUACGCCCUUUAAGCGUUUUGCUUCAUAACGGAUAUCAUCAUGUCAUUAAUUGUCUUCGAAAUUAAAAGAUACAAAAAUAAAAUUAACCUUUGAGUCCCCCUGUGUUCUUUGUGAUGAUAAUUAUAUUGUUGAUUCUGUAAGACAUGGACAAUCCCUCGCUUUCAGUGUGCUCACUUUCUUGACCAAAGAGCUAACUAUAAGUGCCUGUUCAACUAGAUAAAAAUCCUCUGCCGUUUUUUAUCACGUUACAUUCAAUGUUGAAGUUAUAUUAAUG
ensembl:lncRNA